AUCUCCCCCAGUACUCUCACCUCUCCUCUCCACUCACUCAACCUCUCUCGCCCCUCUCCCGGUCUCCCCUCCCCCGCCGCAUCCGCUGCGCGUGACCACAAGCUCCUGCCGCAACCGCGCGACUCUGCCCGCCGACCACCGCAUCCGUCGCAUGCAUCGGCGGUUUCCGCACGACGAAGGUCAUGGCUGGUCCCGCGACGGCCUCGGCUGGAGGAGGACGAUAGGUCCAUAGCGACGGACGCUCAAGUAAGAGGAGCGGCCCAAUGGCGGCGGCCUCGAGCACGGGGAUAAGUGCAGGCUGGGGAUGCAGGAGAGGUGCAGCGCGGGGUUUGGAGCUCCCACGAGCUGGGUGCGGCGCAUCCGACGGCGACAGACACAGGGACGCGUUGAUCCGGGUGUGGGUGCUCAAUUCGGUCCCGUUCUGGCCGGAUCCGCGGCGGUGCUCAUCUCCGGCGAGGUGGCCUGUGACUCGCGGGACGACGGCGGCGCAAGACCACAGGAGGGGCUCAUCUCAUGGGACAGGGGCGCGAGGUCUUGUUGGCUUCGGUUGUCGGUGGCUUGACGCAGGGGUGGCCGGGGUCCGGCGCCAUGGAGGCUCUUCGAGGACGAGGAAGCAGACAGCGACGACAACUUUGAGGCCGGCGGGGGCGCCGUCUCCGCGUUCGAUGGUCGGGGUCCAACGCGGCCGCCGUUGGCUCCAUCCCCUACAGUUAUCAUGCGGAUAAGAGAACCAAAAACUACCACAUUGAUAUCUGCUUCAGGAAAAAUGGUUUGCACUAGAGCAAAAAGUGAACAGCAAUGUAAACUCGUAGCUAGAAAGGUCAAAUAUUUGACGAUGUUUUCUUCUCCCAACCUGGCAAGGUAUUGUACUACCUACAUGCAUCACUGGAAGGAGUAAGAAGUCAGUUGGAGUGAGAAGUGAGACAAGUACCAUGAGCUCAAGUGAUUCAUUCACCAAGCUGGUAAACGCAUAAACUUCAAAAAAAAUCAUCUCAAUAAGGUAUGCAAGUAAUUUAUUUUGGGUGUUUGAAUUUUCACAUUUUGGGUUUUGUUUUCAGUCCAUUAUAUAUUCUAGGGACAAACUUCAUCUCAUUUCUUAGACCAACUAAUAUUUAACUACAGGAUCAGAUUCGCGUAAAGUAAUUUGCAAUGUUUAUUCGAUUUUGUGCAUGACAAGGGGCAAGUAGAAUUUUUUCUGUAUGCACUUAGCAAGAUUAAAAUAACAGGCACAAAGUGAAUCAAGUGUGUUCAACAAGCAAUUUAAAAGUGAAAGUAGAUAAACAACUUACUGAUCCACAUAGAAGAGUGCCGAGUAUUGAGAUUUGAUUUGCCGCAUUGCAAUGGUCCGCUAUGGUCCUGCAGUAAUAUGUGUAUGACAGCAAAAGGAUCUUCAAAUCAGUAUGUACACUUAACUUAUCCAUUAUAAUUCGAUAUAUUAUAUGAGAUAACUUGAACAUCUUUAGAAACCAGUGUGAAAAAAUAUAUAGCAGCCAAAUCGCAUUACAAUACUAUUACGUGUGGAUUUUCAUAUGCACAUUCCCAGACGCUACAAACUUGAUCAGAGCCGAAAGCAAGGAAAUGCACAUCACAGUUGCAAUGACGCUAGGAGAAGCCUCUCCACAUCUGCAUGUUGAGAGACUUGAGCUAUUAAUUUUGCAGGCACUCCACACAAGCACAUGCAUGUUAAGUGAGGGUAUACGUUAUCAUUUUGGGUAUGAUCGAAUGGAAAUACCUGUUCAUGUCAUCCUCUGAUCCACUGAUCCAAAUCAUCCUGCAAAGCUCAUGCAUAAUGGUUUAGGAAAUAAGGUAUAGAUGCUCAAGGACAAGAUUGAUAGCUAACAAAUAGUUGAUGCUUACAAUUAGCCUGUGGUCUCCUCCUCCAACAUGUGUUUCCUGUUUGAGCGUUGUGAAAGGUCAGGAGGUCCAGGCAGGUCAAGGCGAUGGCGACCUUUGACUUUGGAAAUGCAAACCCCCUAUCGGUGGCCCUCUCCACAACAUCAUCCAACAUAUUGACGUUUAGCUGGCAGAAAGGAACUAUACACAUUUAGCAAGGAAAUCUAGGAACAAGAAAAUAGACCGGUCGGCAUGUAUGAUUAAGGAUAAAGAAUGCACUAACUUUCAAACUGUUUUGAUGCCUGACCACAUAUAUUGUCAACAUGGAAAUUCUGGUUUCUGAAAUCAGUUUCCUUGCUCAGUAGAACGCCUAUUAUGAAAUCUGUUUGUUCUAGAGCUGAGUGCAGACAUCACUUUUGUUAACCGUGAUGCUAUAAUACUCGGGAAAAUUGUGUUAUUAGGAAAUUGGUCAAGGCAUAUAGCUCCAUCUAUGCUCCCACAGACAUAAGAUGAUGAGACUAUUAUAAACAAAUUCAUCUUGUUUUCUGCAGUUCUGAAAUCUGUAAUGCAAUGUUUCACUUGUUUGGUCCUCUCUUUUUCAUAUGAUGUUCUUGGUUUGUGUCUUCGACAAUGCACAGGCAGUAAACUGCAUGCAUUACAACCUUAGAUUAGUAAGUUGUAACUUUUGCAGCCAAUAAAAAUAUAGGUAAUUAACGCAAUCAACCUUAGAUUAGAUGUUUUGUAUGUGUCAUCAAUGCACGCACUCACUGGAUUAUUACUUAUUUUGGCCUACAAACUGUUGUUUAAAUGUUUAUCAUGCAUCCAUCUUCCAUUAUAAUUCUGGUAAUCCUUUGCUCCCUUCAUUUUAACUAAACCUUUUCUUCAGAUCUGUGAAAGCCAUAUAAUUUGCAUGCUCCAAUUUAAUUUUAACUAUAAUGGAAUAGGUUACUUUUCUGGUUUCAUUUUAACUAUCAUGGAACAGGUUACUUUUCUGGUUUAGUGUAUCUUUUUGGAUCUACCUUGAACUAAGCGCAAUUGCUUUAUUAUAAACCAUUGAUCCAAAAUGCAUAGUGCAUCUUAUUGUUCGGCGAAAAACUUUCCUGGUUGACACUAGCUAAACCAUCUUUUCACAAAAUCCUGCUAUUCUCUCUGUACAUUUGCUUCACUUAUUUUGUUGUCUCAGUUUGAUAAUUCGGUUAUGGUUGAAAAUGUAAAAAGAUUAGUGUCCUGUUUAUUGUGUUUCCGUGUGAACUUGUUCUGAACAGCACGUGCUGAACCUUAUGGUUUGCAGUUUUGUCAGAGAUAUGUUUUGCUAGGCUGGAAGCUUGCGAGAUCUUCAGAUUAUCCUAAUUGCUUCUACAUAGAAGGUGCAGCCAUCGCAUGGUUCCAAAUGUCUCAUUGAUCCAAAAUGCAUAGUGCAUCUAUUUGCUUUCCUGGUUGACACUAUAGCUAAACCAUUGCUUCACGAAAUCAUGCUAUUCUCUCUGUACAUUUGCUUCACUUAUUAUGUUUGGUCAAUUUGUUAUUUCGGUUAUGGUUGAAAAAUGCAAAAAGAUUAGCUGUUUUACUUAUUCUGAACCUUA